GGGAGUAGGCGCAGGCGGUUGCAGAUCAGUCAGAGUGACUGGUUUGAGGAAAGUCCGGACUCCCGAAAGACCAAACUUGCUGGGUAACGCCCAGUGCGAGCGAUCGUGAGGAUAGUGCCACAGAAAGAUACCGCCAUCUUCAGUGAACAGUGAACAGUGAACAGUGAACAGUCAAAACCUGAUAACUGAUAACUGAUAACUGAAAAUGGUAAGGGUGCAAAGGUGCGGUAAGAGCGCACCAGCAGCGUCGAGAGGCGCUGGCUCGGUAAACCCCGGUAGGGAGCAAGGCCAGAGGAAACUACGGUUGGUCUUUUACCAGUUUCCGUGCAUUAGAGCCGCUAGAGGCGUUUGGUAACAAGCGUCCCAGAUAGAUAACUGCCCUCAAAGGUGUUUUUAAACAUUGGCGAGAACAGAACCCGGCUUAUGUCCGACUCUCUCCC
rfam:Nodularia spumigena CCY9414 1099428179726, whole genome shotgun sequence.